rnacentral:rRNA from 1 species
AACGAACGCUGGCGGCGCGUUUUAAGCAUGCAAGUCGAACGGUAGUGGUAGCAAUACCAUUAGAGUGGCGCACGGGUGAGUAAGACGUAGGUGAUCUACCUCUGGGUGGGGGAUAGUCCAUGGAAACAUGGGGUAAUACCGCAUGAGGCCUUGUGGGUGGAGCCAUGAGGUGAAAGGUGCAAUUGCAUCGUCUGGGGAUGAGCCUGCGGUCCAUUAGGUAGUUGGCGGGGUAAGAGCCCACCAAGCCGACGAUGGAUAGCCGGCCUGAGAGGGUGUACGGCCACACUGGAACUGAGACACGGUCCAGACUCCUACGGGAGGCAG